UAUUGGGCAAUGGAGGCAACUCUGACCCAGCCAUGCCGCGUGGAGGAUGACGGCCCUCUGGGUUGUAAACUUCUUUUAUAUGCCCCGAAAAAGGGCCUUUCUAGGUCAACUGACGGUACCAUUUGAAUAAGCACCGGCUAACUCCGUGCCAGCAGCCGCGGUAAUACGGAGGGUGCAAGCGUUAUCCGGAUUUACUGGGUUUAAAGGGUGCGUAGGUGGAUUGGUAAGUCAGUGGUGAAAUCUCCGGGCUUAACCCGGAAACUCCCAUUGAUACUAUCAGUCUUGAAUAUUGUGGAGGUCAGCGGAAUAUGUCAUGUAGCGGUGAAACGCAUAGAUAUGACAUAGAACACCAAUUGCGAAGGCAGCGACUACGCAUAUAUGACACGAGGCACGAAA
rnacentral:rRNA from 1 species